AUUGAACGCCGGCGGCAUGCUUAACACAUGCAAGUCGAACGAGACCUUCGGGUCUAGUGGCGCACGGGUGCGUAACGCGUGGGAAUCUGCCCUUUGCUACGGAAUAACUCAGAGAAAUUUGUGCUAAUACCGUAUAAUGUCGAAAGACCAAAGAUUUAUCGGCAAAGGAUGAGCGCGCGUAGGAUUAGCUAGUUGGUGAGGUAAAGGCUCACCAAGGCGACGAUCCUUAGCUGGUCUGAGAGGAUGAUCGGCCACACUGGGACUGAGACACGGCUCAGACUCCUACGGGAGGCAGCAGUGGUGAAUAUUGGACAAUGGGCGAAAGCCUGAUCCAGCAAUGCCGCGUGAGUGAUGAAGGCCUUAGGGUUGUAAAGCUCUUUUACCAGGGAUGAUAAUGACAGUACCUGGAGAAUAAGCUCCGGCUAACUCCGUGCCAGCCGCCGCGGUAAGAC
rnacentral:rRNA from 1 species